rnacentral:rRNA from 1 species
UACGUAGGGGGCAAGCGUUGUCCGGAAUCAUUGGGCGUAAAGCGCGUGUAGGCGGCUCGAUAAGUCUGCUGUGAAAGUCCAGGGCUCAACCCUGGGAUGCCGGUGGAUACUGUCGGGCUAGAGUACGGAAGAGGCGAGUGGAAUUCCUGGUGUAGCGGUGAAAUGCGCAGAUAUCAGGAGGAACACCCAUUGCGAAGGCAGCUCGCUGGGACGUUACUGACGCUGAGACGCGAAAGCGUGGGGAGCAAACAGG